rnacentral:rRNA from 1 species
UGGGGAAUAUUGGACAAUGGGCGCAAGCCUGAUCCAGCCAUGCCGCGUGAGUGAUGAAGGCCCUAGGGUUGUAAAGCUCUUUCACCGGUGAAGAUAAUGACGGUAACCGGAGAAGAAGCCCCGGCUAACUUCGUGCCAGCAGCCGCGGUAAUACGAAGGGGGCUAGCGUUGUUCGGAUUUACUGGGCGUAAAGCGCACGUAGGCGGACUUUUAAGUCAGGGGUGAAAUCCCGGGGCUCAACCCCGGAACUGCCUUUGAUACUGGAAGUCUUGAGUAUGGUAAAGGUGAGUGGAAUUCCGAGUGUAGGGGUGAAAUUCGUAGAAAUUCGGAGGAACACCAGUGGCGAAGGCGGCUCACAGGACCAUUACUGACGCUGAGGUGCGAAAGCGUGGGGAGCAAACAGG